rnacentral:rRNA from 1 species
GAUGAACGCUGGCGGCGUGCCUAAUACAUGCGAGUCGAGCGAACAGACGAGGAGCUUGCUCCUCUGACGUUAGCGGCGGACGGGUGAGUAACACGUGGAUAACCUACCUAUAAGACUGGGAUAACUUCGGGAAGCCGGAGCUAAUACCGGAUAAUAUAUUGAACCGCAUGGUUCAAUAGUGAAAGACGGUUUUGCUGUCACUUAUAGAUGGAUCCGCGCCGCAUUAGCUAGUUGGUAAGGUAACGGCUUACCAAGGCGACGAUGCGUAGCCGACCUGAGAGGGUGAUCGGCCACACUGGAACUGAGACACGGUCCAGACUCCUACGGGAGGCAGCAGUAGGGAAUCUUCCGCAAUGGGCGAAGGCCUGACGGAGCAACGCCGCGUGAGUGAUGAAGGUCUUCGGAUCGUAAAACUCUGUUAUUAGGGAAGAACAAAUGUGUAAGUAACUAUGCACGUCUUGACGGUACCUAAUCAGAAAGCCACGGCUAACUACGUG